GGUCACGUUACUAACUUAACUCUUUAAUUAUUUUUAUAAUUAUUUUCCUUCGCUCUCCCAUUUAAAUUCUCUAAUUCCUCGUAUAGGACCACUGACGUGACGUCAUACCUCGGUGAUGGAACAUACUCCACCUAUCGAGAAUUAUUUCGCGUUCGGUGAGUUUGACGUCGUACUCUUGGAAGGAGAGACGAAUGUUCAUCACUUGACCUGUGGCUGUAGGUGAAGUUGGUUGCUACCAUAGAAUAUUAGAAUGGCGGUUGGUUUUUUAUUUUAUAACAUCAGUGAAAAGAAAAAAAUUACCACAAAUGGUUUUCUACAGUAGGGUGGCAUGUGGGUAGAACAACCCCUCUUGGAAUCGGAAUAGAAAUCACCGCCAUUUUGGAGUAACCACAUGGUGAACUCAUAGCCCUUUGACACCUAGGGAAACCACUACAGCCACAGUCAAGUCGCCAGGGAAUACAUCCUUUUGGGAACAAGCUAUGGGAGCGUUCCAGCUCAAUUUUCGUCUUGGCACCUGGGCCUACAGGAGCCAUGGGGUCGCACCAUCCUGGUGCAUCAUUUUCUAGGAUGCAACCGCAACCUCGUUUGGGAACAUUUAGUGAGGGGUUUUAGUAACUAUUGGUUUUUUUUUUAUAUUUCAGACUAUCUGUUAAAUACACUAUGUUUUUUUUUCCAGAUUUAGGUUACCUCUGGUUUUUUUUUUGACAUAUUUGUAUAUUAGAUUAUUUGGUUCCCAAACUUUGUAUCUACGGUAACUUCUUGUGCACAGGAAUAAGCCUAGAGAAAAUUAGGUUUUUAAUACUUUAUUAUUGCUUUGAUAUUGGUUUAUGUAAUUCGGUUAAAUUUAUUUUGUAAUAUUACUUGCUUGUUUCCCAAAUAUUUUACUGUUAUUCGCUUUAUUCCAUUUGUUCGGUUAAUUUAGGUCAUCGUCGGUAUUUAUCUCAACUUCAUUUCUACUUUAGUCAAUUGUAUAUUUAACUUUAUUUAUUCAUUAUUGUAUUUUCCCUUAGUGAGGCUUGGGCCUAUUUAUUUGUAGUAUUUUCAUCUUUGUCAGUUUCCUUUAGUUGUACGUAGCAGGCGUACUAUAACCAUUUGGUAGAAGACUUAUGUAAUUUUGUACCCUAUAUGUAAGUAAGAGGUACUAAUACCUGUAAUUUUGUAACAGAUAACAUUAUUGUUGUUAUCUUAGAGAUGACUUUUUGUAUAACUUAUGUCAUUUUAGAGUCACAUGAUAUACACUUUGUGUAACUCAGAGAUUGUCAAAAAUCUAGUAUUUAUUUUUAAUAAAUAUGUAUUUAUUUUGUAUAUCAAUUAUUUUAUUAUUCCUUUAUGUUCAUUAUUACAGGUUUAAUAUAUUUAAUAUUGGAAAGCAGUGUAAGAUACCUGGGAAAAUGAUCGAGGAUCAUUUUCAUGGUGCCCAUGAUUAGUUAGUUUUAUUUAUUUUGUUCGUUUUUAGUCAUUAUUCAUCUCCAUUCAUUUUCAGUACAUUAUUCUUAUUUUAUUAUUUCAUCUUUUAGUCAUCAUUACUAUCUAUAUAGAGCUACUGUUCUUCGACAGGCAUGCAAACGAGCCGUAUCCAUCCUUGAGUGUCAAGUUGCUCUCUUGCAUCUAUAGCUAGCCAACUCUAUUCAGUUUGCCUCUGUCUCUUCCCACUUCUACUUCUAUCCCUUCUAAUUCCCCUUUCUUCAGUACUACUGCACUUUAGUAGUAUUUUUCCUAUUGCGGCUUCUCAACGUAGAAGCCAUCUCACCUUUCUCUUUUCAUCCCAACUAUUUAGUUACCUAGUCUCUUUUCUUUACACUACUUUUUCCUUACUUCUGUUGGAGUAUAUCUUUCUUUUUACUUUCACUCCAACAGAAGUUUUCUCAUUUUUGUUACACUGGCGCCCAACGUGGGGCCAACCGUUUUAUGGUUCUAAGACAGUAGUUCUUUUAGUUCAAUUUUCUUUUAUUGGAAUUUUCUGUUUUAUUAACUUUUUGAUAGCUUUGUAUACAUGUUACUUCUGAUUUAUUUUUGGUCUUUAAAAGUUUACGAAUACUAAACAGGUAGACUUAUGCUGCUUUUGGUUUUGAUUAGUUUAUUUCGAUACCUCAUUUUUAGUUUUAGUGGUACAGCUCAUAUCUUAGUUUGGAUUUUGUAUUUUUAUUGGAAACUUAUUUAUGUAUUUAGAUUGAGUAUACAUAACUGACAUUAUGUUCUAUUAGUUAAAUUUUUAUUCCUUCUACCAAUGGUAGUACGUUUGCGCGUACAAUUAAUCGUUGAAUAUAUGCAUACAUUUUUUUCUAGUAUGGUUAUAUUUUAUACAUAACUAGAAAUCAUUUUCAGUAUUUAGGUAUUUUAUUUACGCUAUUGAUUUGAUUAUUUUUAUAUAUUUGCUGGCAUUUUUUAUUUGUUGGUGUGUCGCUAAUAUUUUCUCCAUAUGUAUAUUUGUCUUACAAACUUUAGAUUAUAUUUUAUAUUUGUUAUUUUUGAUAUUUGGAUUGUUUGGUAAGACAGGCACACACCACAAAGCAAUAUCAGUCCAGAACAUUAGCGUCUAUACAUGAUACGUUGAAUUCGCAUGGUUCGGAUGAUUACAGAUGUUCAUCCAUAAUUUAUGUUCUUUAAUUGGUAGUGUUAAACAUAACAAUUAUAAUUAUUGUAUGGUAAAGUAGUUCCAUUAUCCAUCUCAGCUUCUAGUUUUGUUAAUUUUGACAAUAAUAUUAUAUCAGUGUGGGUACCAUAAUGUACUUAAUGCUUUUAUAAAUCAGAUACUUUAGGUUGAGAUUCAAAUAUAAAUUCUUUAUUAGUUAGGAAACAUUGAUACUAUUUUUCUAUUAAGUUGUAGAACAAUCUUCAGAAGAAGAUUACCUUGAAACAGAGUUGUUCAAGCUAAUCUCUUCUUCUGUUUGUCUUUAGCUUAUUAGCUCAAUCUUUAGUAUGGUUAUAAAUUUUAGUCCAAUAUUUUUUUUUUAUCAUCUGAUAAUGCAGGUACCCACAUACAUUGCUUGAUUUCAUCUUUGGCUUAGUUUUGAUGACUUUUAUUUAUUACUUAUUAAUUUAAUUAUUAUGUAGUACUUUAUGUAUGAGUUUAUUUUUUUUGGUAUUAGGUAUGGUGCAUUUUAAUUAUUAUUAUGAGUCAAUAUUAUUAAUUGCUAAUCCUGUCAGUAGGAUUAUCCAAUUAAUAAAAACUUCACUUGUAUUUUUGUCUAGUUUUUGCACACCUAACCCUUAAGUUAGAAGGGUUGUUGAUUAUUAUAUAUUUAUAUAUAUAUAUUUGGAUAGGUGAACUCAUACAAGUACUCUUGUUUAAUAUGGAUAUUAUUAUGGAACUAUGUUGCACUACCAUAUCUCAGGUUAUAUUAUUUUGAAUAUUUGAUUACUUACUAAUUUUUUACCAUAUUUAUAUCUUGUUAUUGCAUUUGCCAUAUUGGAAAGAUGUGGUUGUUAAUUUGUUAUUGGGUUACUCUAUUGACAUUUGUCACAGAUAUCUUAAGUACAUUAUAAUAAUUCAGACCUUUAUUUCCUAUACAUUAUGAUUCUGGAAUUAGUUUGGAAUUUUGAUGUAAGUAUGUGUGAAUUCUUAAGUCUUUCAUAUUAUUUCCUCUAAGAAUUAGUCUGUGUGUACUAGGAUUUAGUGAAUACGUGGGUUCGAAGUUGUUGUUUGGUACGUGGCCAGUGCUGUUCGAUUAAAUUUCGUAAUCUAUGUCUUUCAUGGCUGAGUAUGCAGAUGUUUAUUUAUCAUAAUAUUUCUGGUCAGCAAAUGACGGGCCCAUUUCCUAACCAUUCUAGUGUUAUUCCCAUUAUUCCAGUUACAUUUUUACCAUUUGAUAGGGAAGUGUUUAGUUUAUAUUAUGUCUCGUACUUCAUAGUAUGUCUGUUGCUGACUAUCCCUAUACGCAGUAGGUUUGUUAAGUCAGUAUUUGGAGUGUUUAGACAAAUGAGUUGUUCAUCAGAGUAUAUUCCCACUUCUUUCCUUAGGCAUUAGUUGCUAUUCAGAUUCUGGAAUAUUUCCUGAAUAAUUCAUUCUCGUCAAUUUUUUUUUCCCUAUCACUUAUCAUAUUUUUUUUCUUCCUAUUAUUUAUCAUAGUGCCAUAGACCUUGUAAGUUCACCAUUCAUUCUGUUUUCUUUCUUACUUAUUCUUACAUUAUUGGUACCUUAUCUGAGUCUGGUUAUUCUCAUACAUCUGUUGUAGCAACAUGCUAUAAUUCGCGAAUACCAGCACGAAUUAAGUUUAUGUAGUUUCUAUAAUAUUUUAGUCAGUACACUGUAGGUAUACCUACAGUGAUAUACCUUUGAUUUAGUCAGUAUACAGUAUACAGUCAGUAUACCUUUGAUUUAGUUUGGUUACAUCUCUGUUACUUAGUCUGUUAGUAAUUUUUUUAUUGUGACUUAUUUUGAUUACUUAGUUUGGAUAGGUUCAUAUUACCGGAUGAGGGUGUAUGUAGACCUAAUUUAUUUAUUUUGUUCAGUAGUAGUUACCAUUGGAUCCAAUAAUUUAGUUUAUUUAGUAUUAGUAAGAAUUGGUCCAUAAAUUUGCCCGAUCGUUCUUCUUUGGAUAUACUCCUAUAUAAAUCUGGUGUCCAUUGAUAGUCCGAUUCUGGAUAAGUGUCCGAUUCUUCAUUUAUUUGGUGUAUUUAGUUGGAUAGGUUCGUAUCACCGGAUGUGAGUGUACGUAGACCUGAUCUGUUUAUGUGGUUUAGUAUUGGUGUGAAUUGGUCCAUAAAUUUGCCUGGUCGUUCUUCUUUGGAUAUGCCUUUUAUGAAUCUGGUGUCCACUGAUAGUCCGACUUUGGAUUAAGUGUCCGAUUCCACAUCUAUUUUGGUUAUUGAGUUUUGGAUUCCUUUGGUAUGUUUAUUAUUGGUAUUAUUGGGCAUUAGUGAGAGUUGUUCCAUAAAUCUUCCUGAUUGUUCUUCUCUGGAUAUACUAUUAUGAAUCUGGUGUCCAUUGUUAGUUCAAUUUUGGAUUAAGUGUUCAAUUCUUUACUUAUUUUAGUUACUGCUUUUUUUUAUUCACUUUGAUAUAUUUACUUGUGAUAUGGUUCGAAUUGGCUCACACCUUUUCCUGGUUGUUCCGUCCUUGGAUAUAUCCUUUAUAAAUCUGAUGUCCAUGGAUAGUUCAAUUUUGGUUUGGUGCCCAAUUCGACACUUAGCAUUAUUAUGAACUUUAGUACAAUAUUUAGUUUUGUUUUGACUUUUAAGCAAUAUUAUGUCACUAUUUGGUAGCAGAGAGUAACAUAGUAACAUUUUAGUAUGAAUUUGAGUCAUAUAUUUAUUUAUUUCUCCUUGAACAUUAGUUUAUGCUUAGUGGUAACCUUGCGAAUAAACGUGGAUUGUUAGACUAUUGUAAAUUUAGUUGUUAAUAUUUUGAGGUUUAAAAAAAAAUUUCUUUGAUAAAUUUUUUUUUCCCGAGUAGAAGGGGAUUGUAACGGUCACGUUACUAACUUAACUCUUUAAUUAUUUUUAUAAUUAUUUUCCUUCGCUCUCCCAUUUAAAUUCUCUAAUUCCUCGUAUAGGACCACUGACGUGACGUCAUACCUCGGUGAUGGAACAUACUCCACCUAUCGAGAAUUAUUUCGCGUUCGGUGAGUUUGACGUCGUACUCUUGGAAGGAGAGACGAAUGUUCAUCACUUGACCUGUGGCUGUAGGUGAAGUUGGUUGCUACCAUAGAAUAUUAGAAUGGCGGUUGGUUUUUUAUUUUAUAACAUCAGUGAAAAGAAAAAAAUUACCACAAAUGGUUUUCUACAGUAGGGUGGCAUGUGGGUAGAACAACCCCUCUUGGAAUCGGAAUAGAAAUCACCGGUAAUAAAACCUUUUUAUAAUAAUUUUUUUUGUUAGCCUUGAAUAUUAAAAUAUUAGUCCCAUUGUUAAAAUUUCUUAGUCAACUCAUUAUUUGGAUUUUAUGUAGAUUCGAUUAUUGAGUAUUCAUUCAAAGAAAAUUAUACAUUAAUAUAUUUUUUUGGUUAGACAUAACCAAACAUAUGCAGUCCUCAAAUUAAUAUUGGAAAUAAGUAUCAUUUCUCUGUAGGUUUUUGAAUAUCCAAUAUUUUAUAAAUUCAAUAUUUUUACAGAUAUUUCCUUAAAUUAAUCAUAUUCAAAUUACAAAUUCCAUGUCAUUUGUUCAUGUAUUCACACUCAAAAUAGUUCAAGGUUACUUGAGAUUGGUUUUUGUUACAUUUUUAAUGGUCUGUUUUUCUAUACUAUUGCUUCUAAAAAGUUCCUCAAUUAUUUCUUCUUCCCUUUACUUUUUGCUCAUGUUUGAAAUGAGAAAUAAAACUGGGAAUAUUUUUUUAGCCAUUUUGGAGUAACCACAUGGUGAACUCAUAGCCCUUUGACACCUAGGGAAACCACUACAGCCACAGUCAAGUCGCCAGGGAAUACAUCCUUUUGGGAACAAGCUAUGGGAGCGUUCCAGCUCAAUUUUCGUCUUGGCACCUGGGCCUACAGGAGCUAUGGGGUCGCACCAUCCUGGUGCAUCAUUUUCUAGGAUGCAACCGCAACCUCGUUUGGGAACAUUUAGUGAGGGGUUUUAGUAACUAUUGGUUUUUUUUUUAUAUUUCAGACUAUCUGUUAAAUACACUAUGUUUUUUUUCCAGAUUUAGGUUACCUCUGGUUUUUUUUUUGACAUAUUUGUAUAUUAGAUUAUUUGGUUCCCAAACUUUGUAUCUACGGUAACUUCUUGUGCACAGGAAUAAGCCUAGAGAAAAUUAGGUUUUUAAUACUUUAUUAUUGCUUUGAUAUUGGUUUAUGUAAUUCGGUUAAAUUUAUUUUGUAAUAUUACUUGCUUGUUUCCCAAAUAUUUUACUGUUAUUCGCUUUAUUCCAUUUGUUCGGUUAAUUUAGGUCAUCGUCGGUAUUUAUCUCAACUUCAUUUCUACUUUAGUCAAUUGUAUAUUUAACUUUAUUUAUUCAUUAUUGUAUUUUUCCUUAGUGAGGCUUGGGCCUAUUUAUUUGUAGUAUUUUCAUCUUUGUCAGUUUCCUUUAGUUGUACGUAGCAGGCGUACUAUAACCAUUUGGUAGAAGACUUAUGUAAUUUUGUACCCUAUAUGUAAGUAAGAGGUACUAAUACCUGUAAUUUUGUAACAGAUAACAUUAUUGUUGUUAUCUUAGAGAUGACUUUUUGUAUAACUUAUGUCAUUUUAGAGUCACAUGAUAUACACUUUGUGUAACUCAGAGAUUGUCAAAAAUCUAGUAGUUAUUUUUAAUAAAUAUGUAUUUAUUUUGUA